GAUGAACGCUGGCGGCGUGCUUAACACAUGCAAGUCGAACGAGAAGUGAAGACGGAAACCUUCGGGCGGAAGGCUUUAUUUCGAGUGGCGGACGGGUGAGUAACGCGUGGGUAACCUGCCUCAUACAGGGGGAUAACAGUUGGAAACGACUGUUAAUACCGCAUAAGACCACAGCACCGCAUGGUGCGGGGGUAAAAACUCCGGUGGUAUGAGAUGGACCCGCGUUCGAUUAGCCAGUUGGCGGGGUAACGGCCCACCAAAGCGACGAUCGAUAGCCGAUCUGAGAGGAUGACCGGCCACAUUGGGACUGAGACACGGCCCAAACUCCUACGGGAAGCAGCAGUGGGGAAUAUUGCACAAUGGGGGAAACCCUGAUGCAGCGACGCCGCGUGAGUGAAGAGGUAUUUCGGUAUGUAAAGCUCUAUCAGCAGGGAAGAAAAUGACGGUACCUGAGUAAGAAGCCCCGGCUAACUACGUG
rnacentral:rRNA from 1 species